AACCUGGUUGAUCCUGCCAGUAGCAUACGCUUGUCUCAAAGAUUAAGCCAUGCAUGUCUAAGUAUAAACAACUCUAUACUGUGAAGCUGCGAAUGGCUCAUUAAAUCAGUUAUAGUUUAUUUGAUGGUUCUUGCUACUUGGAUAACCGUAGUAAUUCUAGAGCUAAUACAUGCAUCUACCGAUUGAAUGGUUCGGUGAAAAUCUCGGACCGCGGCUUGGAUGCCUUCGGGCAACCAGGCGGUGGAAAGUUGUUUAAACCUCAUCAUUUAGAGGAAGGUGAAGUCGUAACAAGGUUUCCGUAGGUGAACCUGCAGAAGGAUC
rnacentral:rRNA from 1 species